CCCUUAGAUGUCCUGGGCCGCACGCGCGCUACACUGAUGCAUGCAACGAGUUUAUAACCUUGGCCUGAAAGGUCUGGGUAAUCUUUUGAACGUGCAUCGUGAUAGGGAUAGAUUAUUGCAAUUGUUAAUCUUGAACGAGGAAUUCCUAGUAAACGCGAGUCAUCAGCUCGCAUUGAUUACGUCCCUGCCCUUUGUACACACCGCCCGUCGCACCUACCGAUUGAAUGUUCCGGUGAGCUCUUCGGACUGCGCGGUCUGCAGUUUCUGCGUUCCGUGCGGAAAGUUGCGCAAACCUUAACAUUUAGAGGAAGGAGAAGUCGUAACA
rnacentral:rRNA from 1 species